rnacentral:rRNA from 1 species
UACAGGGGGGACUAGUGUUAUUCGAAAUGACUGGGCGUAAAGGGCACGUAGAUUGUUUAUGAAGUUAAAAGUGAAAGAUCAGAAUAUGAUUUGAGAAAACUUUUAAUACCAUACAACUUGAGUUUGAUAGAAGAUAAUAGAAUUUUCAAGGUGGUGAUAAAAUACGUUAAUCUUGAAAGGAAUUCCAAAGGCGAAAGCAAUUAUCUGGAUCAAAACUGACAUUGAGGUGCGAAAGCAUGGGGAUC